rnacentral:rRNA from 1 species
GAUGAACGCUAGCGGCAGGCUUAACACAUGCAAGUCGAGGGGUAUAGUAGCAAUACUAGAGACCGGCGCACGGGUGCGUAACGCGUAUGCAAUCUACCUUUUACAGAGGGAUAGCCCAGAGAAAUUUGGAUUAAUACCUCAUAGUAUAUAGCCCUGGCAUCAGGAUUAUAUUAAAGUCACAACGGUAAAAGAUGAGCAUGCGUCCCAUUAGCUUGUUGGUAAGGUAACGGCUUACCAAGGCAACGAUGGGUAGGGGUCCUGAGAGGGAGAUCCCCCACACUGGUACUGAGACACGGACCAGACUCCUACGGGAGGCAGCAGUGAGGAAUAUUGGACAAUGGGCGCAAGCCUGAUCCAGCCAUGCCGCGUGCAGGAUGACGGUCCUAUGGAUUGUAAACUGCUUUUAUACGAGAAGAAACACUCCGACGUGUCGGAGCUUGACGGUAUCGUAAGAAUAAGGAUCGGCUAACUCCGUGCCAGCAGCCGCGGUAAUACGGAGGAUCCAAGCGUUAUCCGGAAUCAUUGGGUUUAAAGGGUCCGUAGGCGGUCUUAUAAGUCAGUGGUGAAAUCUCCCCGCUCAACGGGGAAACGGCCAUUGAUACUGUAAGACUUGAAUUAUUAGGAAGUAACUAGAAUAUGUAGUGUAGCGGUGAAAUGCUUAGAGAUUACAUGGAAUACCAAUUGCGAAGGCAGGUUACUACUAAUGGAUUGACGCUGAUGGACGAAAGCGUGGGUAGCGAACAGGAUUAGAUACCCUGGUAGUCCACGCCGUAAACGAUGGAUACUAGCUGUUGGGAGCAAUCUCAGUGGCUAAGCGAAAGUGAUAAGUAUCCCACCUGGGGAGUACGUUCGCAAGAAUG